UACGGGGGGAGCAAGCGUUGUUCGGAUUUACUGGGCGUAAAGGGCGCGUAGGCGGCCAGCACAAGUCAGUUGUGAAAUCUCCGAGCUUAACUCGGAAAGGUCAACUGAUACUGUGUGGCUAGAGUGCGGAAGGGGCAACUGGAAUUCUUGGUGUAGCGGUGAAAUGCGUAGAUAUCAAGAGGAACACCUGCGGCGAAGGCGGGUUGCUGGGCCGACACUGACGCUGAGGCGCGAAAGCGUGGGGAGCGAUCCGG
rnacentral:rRNA from 1 species